UUAGUAAAGUGGUUAAAGCAUGCGGCUCAUGAGCCGUAGGUCCCGGGUUCAA
rnacentral:tRNA from 16 species